CUAAUCUGUAAAUUCUUCUCUUACCCCUUGGCUACUUCUGCUCUGUGGUUUCUUUCUCAAUCUAUUUUCUUACAAAUUGAAGAAAAAUGGCUACCAUAUCUGCUAUGACUCCAACCUCAUCAAUCAUUCGUGCAAUUCUUGUGCAAAAGAGAUCAGCAGGGAUCUCACACUCGCCUGUUCUUGGUAAGAUUGAUUUUCUUCUUUCUCAUGAAAUAUUGCGCGACUUCUUUAUGGAUCAAAAGUUUACAUACGCAUAGUUAUUGGUCAACUGCUUCCAGGCUUGCCAGCCAUGGCACUGAAGGGAAAAGUGAGAUGUGAGAAGCCAUUUGUGAAGGAAAACGGGCGUAACAAGGGCAUGACUGCAUCACUUUUCGCAGC
rnacentral:misc_RNA from 1 species